GGGGGUGUAGCUCAGCGGUAGAGCAUUCACCUAGCAUGUGUGAGGCACUGGGUUCAAUCCUCAGAACCCCA
rnacentral:tRNA from 1 species